UCCCUGGUGGUCCAGUUGGCGAAGACUCUACACUCCCAAUGCAGGGACCUGGGUUCCAUCCCUGGUCAGGGAA
rnacentral:tRNA from 1 species